rnacentral:misc_RNA from 1 species
UCAUCUGCCAUGAGUGUCCUGUAUGUAGUAUCAGCUGUGAAAGCAAGUUCAGUGUCCUGGCUCAUGUACAUGUAGCCUUAAUGAAAAUAAGGAACUGGUUCGUGGUCUGAUGAUUGCCCUUCAAGGGGAAUCAAAGAGAAUCUGCCUUCAUAGAUGUCUGAAGAGAUGCCCACUGCACUUUGAACAAGAGUUCUUGGACUUCAAAAAAGGUUGAUGAGAGACACUGCCUACAUGGAUGCUUGUAAAAGGGUUGCCUAUUCAUCAGGAACAGCAGUUGAAAAACCUGCCACAAAGGUUAAUGAGAGACACCGCCUUCAUAAAUGUCAACAGAAGGGCUACCCUCUCCAUUUUGAACAAGAGUUCUUAGACUUCAAAAAAGAACUCCCAAGAGUGUGCAUACCAGCAGUCUACCCUCAUCGUGUUACCAUCAACGGAGGUCCAGGGAUCAGACGAAGUCACCGGGCACCUGCUCCACUUCGCUGCGCGUGCCGGUGGCCAUUAGGGAACACAGCACAGGUUGGUGGGCAGCAUCAAUGUUACAUUGGUUGUAC